GAUGAACGCUAGCGGCAGGCUUAACACAUGCAAGUCGAGGGGUAUAGGAAGCUUGCUUCCUAGAGACCGGCGCACGGGUGCGUAACGCGUAUGCAACCUACCUUUUACAGAGGGAUAGCCCCAGAGAAAUUUUGGAUUAAUACCUCAUAGUAUAUGUUUUUCGCAUGUUAGACAUAUUAAAGUAACACGGUAAAGAUGGCAUGCGUCCUAUUAGCUAGAUGGUAAGGUAACGGCUUACCAUGGCAACGAUAGGUAGGGGUCCGU
rnacentral:rRNA from 1 species